rnacentral:rRNA from 1 species
GACGAACGCUGGCGGCGUGCUUAACACAUGCAAGUCGAACGGAGUGGCGCACGGGUGAGUAACGCGUAAUCAACCUGCCCUUCAGAGGGGGACAACAGUUGGAAACGACUGCUAAUACCGCAUACUGAAGGAGUGGAUUGCGUCUGAUUAGCUAGUUGGAGGGGUAACGGCCCACCAAGGCGAUGAUCAGUAGCCGGGCUGAGAUGAUGAACGGCCACAUUGGGAUUGAGACACGACCCAGACUCCUACGGGAGGCAGAAGGGGGGAAUCUUCCGCAAGGGACGAAAGUCUGACGGGGCAACGCCGCGUGAGGGAUGACGGCCUUCGGGUUGUAAAUCUAUGUUAAUCGGGACGCGGUACCGGAAUAGAAAGUCACGGCUAACUACGUGCCAGCAGCCGCGGUAAUUC